rnacentral:rRNA from 1 species
CGCUGUGGGGUCAGAGUGAGUGUCAUUGUCGAGUUAUGCACACUACACUCUACCGCUGUAGAACAUACCUAUAACGUUGCCUCGGCGGGAACAGACGGCCCCGUAACACGGGCCGCCCCCGCCAGAGGACCCCCUAACUCUGUUUCUAUAAUGUUUCUUCUGAGUAAACAAGCAAAUAAAUUAAAACUUUCAACAACGGAUCUCUUGGCUCUGGCAUCGAUGAAGAACGCAGCGAAAUGCGAUAAGUAAUGUGAAUUGCAGAAUUCAGUGAAUCAUCGAAUCUUUGAACGCACAUUGCGCCCGCCAGUAUUCUGGCGGGCAUGCCUGUUCGAGCGUCAUUACAACCCUCAGGCCCCCGGGCCUGGCGUUGGGGAUCGGCGGAAGCCCCCUGCGGGCACAACGCCGUCCCCCAAAUACAGUGGCGGUCCCGCCGCAGCUUCCAUUGCGUAGUAGCUAACACCUCGCAACUGGAGAGCGGCGCGGCCACGCCGUAAAACACCCAACUUCUGAAUGUUGACCUCGAAUCAGGUAGGAAUACCCGCUGAACUUAAGCAUAUCAAUAAGCGGAGGA